rnacentral:rRNA from 1 species
GACGAACGCUGGCGGCGUGCUUAACACAUGCAAGUCGAACGGAAAGGCCCUGCUUUUGUGGGGUGCUCGAGUGGCGAACGGGUGAGUAACACGUGAGUAACCUGCCCUUGACUUUGGGAUAACUUCAGGAAACUGGGGCUAAUACCGGAUAGGAGCUCCUGCUGCAUGGUGGGGGUUGGAAAGUUUCGGCGGUUGGGUAUGGACUCGCGGCUUAUCAGCUGGUUGGUGGGGUAGUGGCUUACCAAGGCUUUGACGGGUAGCCGGCCUGAGAGGGUGACCGGCCACAUUGGGACUGAGAUACGGCCCAGACUCCUACGGGAGGCAGCAGUGGGGAAUAUUGCACAAUGGGCGGAAGCCUGAUGCAGCAACGCCGCGUGCGGGAUGACGGCCUUCGGGUUGUAAACCGCUUUCGCCUGUGACGAAGCGUGAGUGACGGUAAUGGGUAAAGAAGCACCGGCUAACUACGUG